UACGGAGGGUGCAAGCGUUGUUCGGAAUUACUGGGCGUAAAGCGCGUUUAGGCGGCCUCUUAAGUCUGGUGUGAAAGCCCGGGGCUUAACCCCGGAAGGGCACUGGAUACUGGGGGGCUUGAGUACCGGAGAGGAAGGUGGAAUUCCUGGUGUAGCGGUGAAAUGCGUAGAUAUCAGGAGGAACACCGGUGGCGAAGGCGGUCUUCUGGACGGCUAUUGACGAUGAGACGCGAAAGCGUGGGGAGCAAACAGG
rnacentral:rRNA from 1 species